AUACGGAGGGUGCGAGCGUUAAUCGGAAUUACUGGGCGUAAAGCGCGCGUAGGCGGCUAGGUCAGUCGGAUGUGAAAGCCCCGGGCUUAACCUGGGAACUGCAUUCGAUACUGCCUGGCUAGAGUAUGGUAGAGGGAAGUGGAAUUCCGGGUGUAGCGGUGAAAUGCGUAGAUAUCCGGAGGAACACCAGUGGCGAAGGCGACUUCCUGGACCAAUACUGACGCUGAGGUGCGAAAGCGUGGGGAGCAAACAGGAUUAGAUACCCGAGUAGUCC
rnacentral:rRNA from 1 species